AGCUUUAUAUUCAAAAAUGAUUUAAAAUUGCAAAUUUUAAGGAGUAGUUAAAAUAUACUAAGGCUU
rnacentral:tRNA from 1 species